rnacentral:rRNA from 1 species
AACGAACGCUGGCGGCAUGCCUAACACAUGCAAGUCGAACGAUGCCUUCGGGCAUAGUGGCGCACGGGUGCGUAACGCGUGGGAAUCUGCCUUUCGGUUCGGAAUAACUCAGGGAAACUUGAGCUAAUACCGGAUAACGUCGCAAGACCAAAGAUUUAUCACCGAAAGAUGAGCCCGCGUAGGAUUAGCUAGUUGGUGAGGUAAAGGCUCACCAAGGCGACGACCCUUAGCUGGUCUGAGAGGAUGAUCAGCCACACUGGGACUGAGACACGGCCCAGACUCCUACGGGAGGCAGCAGUGGGGAAUAUUGGACAAUGGGCGAAAGCCUGAUCCAGCAAUGCCGCGUGAGUGAUGAAGGCCUUAGGGUUGUAAAGCUCUUUUACCCGGGAAGAUAAUGACGGUACCGGGAGAAUAAGCCCCGGCUAACUCCGUG